GGUGUUGUAGCUCAGUGGUAGAGUGCUUGCCUCGUAUGCGUGAGGCCCUGGGUUCAGUCCCGAGCACCACAU
rfam:Ictidomys tridecemlineatus contig114631, whole genome shotgun sequence.